GAUGAACGCUAGCGGCAGGCCUAAUACAUGCAAGUCGAGGGGUAGUGGUUGCUUGCAGCCAUGAGACCGGCGCACGGGUGCGUAACGCGUAUGCAACCUACCUUCAUCUGGGGGAUAGCCCGGAGAAAUCCGGAUUAAUACCGCAUAAAAUCACAGUACGGCGUCGUACAAUGAUCAAACAUUUAUGGGAUGGAGAUGGGCAUGCGUGUCAUUAGUUAGUUGGCGGGGUAACGGCCCACCAAGACCGCGAUGACUAGGGGAUCUGAGAGGAUGACCCCCCACACUGGUACUGAGACACGGACCAGACUCCUACGGGAGGCAGCAGUAAGGAAUAUUGGUCAAUGGGCGCAAGCCUGAACCAGCCAUGCCGCGUGCAGGAAGACGGCCCUCUGGGUUGUAAACUGCUUUUAUUCGGGAAUAAACCUGCUUACGUGUAAGUAGCUGAAUGUACCGAAGGAAUAAGGAUCGGCUAACUCCGUGCCAGCCGCCGCGGUAAUAC
rnacentral:rRNA from 1 species